rnacentral:rRNA from 1 species
CAAGUCGAACGAUGAAACCGCCCUCGGGCGGACAUGAAGUGGCGAACGGGUGAGUAACACGUGACCAACCUGCCCCCCUCUCCGGGACAACCUUGGGAAACCGAGGCUAAUACCGGAUACUCCCUCCCCUGCUCCUGCAGGGGUCGGGAAAGCCCAGGCGGGGGGGAUGGGGUCGCGGCCCAUUAGGUAGUAGGCGGGGUAACGGCCCACCUAGCCCGCGAUGGGUAGCCGGGUUGAGAGACCGACCGGCCACAUUGGGACUGAGAUACGGCCCAGACUCCUACGGGAGGCAGCCAUG